UACGGAGGGUCCAAGCGUUAUCCGGAAUCAUUGGGUUUAAAGGGUCCGUAGGCGGUUUUGAUAAGUCAGUGGUGAAAGCCCGUCGCUCAACGGCGGAACGGCCAUUGAUACUGCAAGACUUGAAUUAUUGGGAAGCAACUAGAAUAUGUAGUGUAGCGGUGAAAUGACUUAGAGAUUACGAUGGAAUACCAAUUGCGAAGG
rnacentral:rRNA from 1 species